rnacentral:misc_RNA from 1 species
GGCAAAUGUUAGGUGUUACAACGAAAAUUCAUGUAAAGUUUGAGUGGCCCGAAUAUUUAUUUGGCCAAUAUAAAGUUGACUAUGAAAUAUUUUUGGAGGCCUAAAACAAAAGAUUUACUAGUCUCUUCUUUGAGUCACCCUUGGCAAAUGCUCCAAGCAUUAGACAUAUCUGGCAAUUACUAAUCUUACACUUCUCAGUAAUACAAAAAAGGUUAUUAUCCUUGCUUAUUGGCUAUUGCUGAAGUUCCCCUCCCUGUUUCGGCUUUCUAUCAAUCUCCUCCAUGCCAUCUUUCCGCAAUGUACCAAGGUCACGAUUGCUACACAAUAGAGGAGUGGAAUGCCAAUCAUGCAGCCUCCAAAUGCAAGAUUCGUCAGUGUCAACAUGCCAGCAAUUAAGUGAACAACAGGAGCGAAACACUGGUCCACUUUGUUUCCUUCUUCAUAUCCACUGAAUGCAAUAACCAUGGAGAAAGUGUGGAUGGUAGCAAAGGCAAGGGCUAUAAUAGCAGAAACAAGAAAAAAGGGUAUCUUUGAGCAUUUCUCUACAUAGUAUGUCGCUGGUCCAAAUGCAGGUGUCAAAAGGCCAAGGCAGAAAAACACAGCAUGAGCCACACCAUGUCCCAA